GGCAAGCCUGGGGAGAAGUUACACAGUUGAGAUUGUCAAUGUUUAUGGAUGGUUUUAAAAUCACUUUGUUAUCUAUCCCUGAAUGUGUAUUUUUAAAUGUGGAGGUAUUUCUGGUUACCAAAAUAGGCUUAAAGUUUGCUUGGAUUUUUAACCAUUUUUCCUUAUGUAGGGUAGCUGAAAUCAAUCACUCUGUGACUGAAGAAGGUGGAAAAAACUGCAGGGUGUAAACCUAAAGAAAGCAGAAGGAAGGAAAUAAGGAAGGUAAAAGAAGAAAUUAAUGAACUAAAAAUCCAGUGGAGAGUAUAUAUAAAGCUUCAUCUUUAAAAAAUAUAAAUCUCUAAAA
rnacentral:lncRNA from 10 species